rnacentral:misc_RNA from 1 species
UGGUUCUGGCAUCGAUGAAGAACGCAGCGAAAUGCGAUAAGUAAUGCGAAUUGCAGAAUUCAGUGAGUCAUCGAAUCUUUGAACGCACAUUGCGCCCUGUGGUAUUCCGCAGGGCAUGCCUGUUCGAGCGUCAUUUCAACCCUCAAGCCUCGCUUGGUGUUGGGCCCUGCCCGCCGCGGCCGGCCCUAAAGAUAGUGGCGGCGCCGCCUGGCCCUCAGCGUAGUACAGCUCUCGCUCCAGGGUCCGGCGGCAGCCUGCCAGAACCCCCCAACUCUGUGGUUGACCUCGGAUCAGGUAGGGAUACCCGCUGA